UUUUGACAGCUGAUUCUGCAAAUAUAAAGAGUGCAUCUGGUGGUCAAAUCGUAGCCAAUUCAAAAGCUCACAUGGCUAAGGUAGUAUUGAAGGAACACUUGGUUCUAACUUUGUUUAGAGAUGAGUAUGAUCUAUUACAUGAAGAUUAUCAGCUUUAUCUUCUUCCAAGCAUUUUGGAAUCCAAAAAGUUAGCUAAAUCUGGACGA